rnacentral:rRNA from 1 species
CAGCCAUACUUCUAGUUCAAUUACACCACAUAUCCCAAGUAAUCAUAAAUUAAAACAUUACCUAGUUUUAGUAAAGGAGAUAGAACAAAAAAUAGGAACAAUAGACUAAGUACCGCAAGGGAACGAUGAAAUAGAAAUGAAAGAACUCAUUAAAGCACAAAAAAGCAAAGACUCGUCCUUGUACCUUU